UACGAAGGGGGCUAGCGUUGUUCGGAAUUACUGGGCGUAAAGCGCGCGCAGGUGGUCUUUCAAGUCAGUGGUGAAAGCCCGGAGCUCAACUCCGGAAAUGCCAUUGAAACUGUAAGACUUGAGGAUGAGAGAGGUGAGUGGAAUUCCCAGUGUAGAGGUGAAAUUCGUAGAUAUUGGGAAGAACACCGGUGGCGAAGGCGGCUCACUGGCUCAUUUCUGACGCUCAGGCGCGACAGCGUGGGGAUCAAACAGG
rnacentral:rRNA from 1 species